CCAUCUUUUCUAUCCAUGAGGUCUUCCUUAAGUCUAUCUAUUUUCUUCCAAAUUUCUCUGCUGCAUAUUGCUUUAUCUAGAAUUAUGUAUUGGGAUGUCAGAUAAAUAUUUUACUAGGUGUGUAUUAACUGAUCAUAUACUGUAUAUUUAUGAGUACUAAGUUCAAUAAAUUAUUUAUCAAUUUAUCUUUAAGUGUAUUGGAUUG
rnacentral:lncRNA from 1 species